GACGGCCUUCUGGGUUGUAAACUGCUUUUAUCUGGGGAUAAAAAGCCCAUGCGUGGGACAUUGAAGGUACCAGAUGAAUAAGCACCGGCUAACUACGUGCCAGCAGCCGCGGUAAUACGUAGGGUGCAAGCGUUGUCCGGAUUUAUUGGGUUUAAAGGGUGCGUAGGCGGCUUAUUAAGUCAGUGGUGAAAUCCAACAGCUCAACUGUUGAUGUGCCAAUGAUACUGAUGGACUUGAGUACAGACGAGGUAGGCGGAAUUGACAGUGUAGCGCUGAAAUGCAUAGAUAUUGUCAAGAACACCGAUAUUGAAGGCAGCUUGCUAGCCUGUAACUGACGCCGAAGCACGAAGGUAUGGGGUUCAAACGGGAUUUUAUACCCUGGUAGUUCAUACAGUAAACGAUGAUUACUCGAUGUUUGCGAUACACAGUCAGCGUCUUCAUCGAAAGCGAU
rnacentral:rRNA from 1 species